CCUACGGGCGGGCAGCAGGGAGGAAGAUUGGGCAAGGGCAGGAAGGCUGAACCAGCCAAGCCGCGGGAAGGACGAAGGUGCCAAGCAUUGGAAACUUCUUUUGUCAAGGGACAAAAUCAGGCUCGAGAGCCUGACCGAGGGUACUUGAAGAAAAAGCAUCGGCUAACUCCGUGCCAGCAGCCGCGGUAAUACGGAGGAUGCGAGCGUUAGCCGGAUUUAUUGGGUUUAAAGGGUGCGUAGGCGGGCUGUUAAGUCAGCGGUAAAAGCCCGGGGCUCAACCCCGGCGAGCCGUUGAAACUGGCUGGCUUGAGAUGUCGAGAGGUAUGCGGAAUGCGCAGUGUAGCGGUGAAAUGCUUAGAUAUUGCGCAGAACUCCGAUUGCGAAGGCAGCAUACCGGCGGCGAUCUGACGCUGAGGCACGAAAGCGUGGGUAUCGAACAGGAUUAGAUACCCUUGUAGUC
rnacentral:rRNA from 1 species